ACCUACGGGAGGCAGCAGUGAGGAAUAUUGGUCAAUGGUCGGGAGACUGAACCAGCCAAGCCGCGUGAGGGAUGAAGGUACAGAGUAUCGUAAACCUCUUUUGUCAGGGAACAAAGGCGGGACGCGUCCCCGGAUGAGUGUACCUGAAGAAAAAGCAUCGGCUAACUCCGUGCCAGCAGCCGCGGUAAUACGGAGGAUGCGAGCGUUAUCCGGAUUUAUUGGGUUUAAAGGGUGCGCAGGCGGUCUGUUAAGUCAGCGGUCAAAGCCCGGGGCUCAACCCCGGCCCGCCGUUGAAACUGGCAGUC
rnacentral:rRNA from 1 species